GUGAAUUAGAGAAAAUUAGAGAAUAGUAAGAAAGCCGAGACAGAGAGUUGAGAGAGAAAGAGGAGCUGAGUUUCAUAGGAGGCCGGAGGCUUGAGGAGUUGGAUGAUCCAGCGAGGAAUUCUUUUUUUCAGUGUACCGAAGAUGAACGGGAUGGCUAGAAACGGGCUUAGGAUGAAGAGUCAACGUGGAGGAUUUAUUUUUUUAUUUGGAGAAUUUUUUUAUAUUUUUGAGGAAUCUGACUUUGUAUAAAAGAGGACAUUUUUUUGUGAUCCUGUGUGUAUUUUGGUGUAUCUGAUUUUGUAUAAAUUGAAAAUUUUAUUGGAA